CCUUAAUCUCUCUAAAGUGACAUAAUGAAAGAGUGAAAAGAAAAUGUACCCUAUGGUCCUGCAGCCACCCCGUACAGCUCCACUUUCCGACUCACGGCCAGGAAAGCGCUGGCUCUGUUUUCCGGAGGCCAAGGGGAGGCCUUUGGCAUCCUGAAAAGGACCACACAUGGAUGAUCCCUACACCAUGCUGACCUCUGGGGCCGAAUCUGUAGCUGGCCAGUGCAUCUCCAGGCCCAGGUGCCCAAGGCAAAGCGUCUACAGAAGGAGUUACGGCUGAAUCCUCCAGUUCCAAUCAAUCUGAAAGCUGUAGAACAAUUAAGAGCAGGGAUUGGCCAGGCACGGUAACAAAGCACUUUCGUGUAAUAUCUCAUCUGGCCAUUGUAAAGAUCAAGUGAGGGAGAGGAGAGGGCAGAUGUUGUGAAGCUCAUUUUACAAUGGAAGAAACUGAGGCUCAGAAUGCAUCAAGAGGCACACAGCAAUACAACUGGAGUCAGGAAGAGGCAUCGGAAUGAUUCAAAACUCUGGUUCUGCCCUAGAGGGACUUCAAGCUGAGGACAUUCUAACUCAGAGGGCCUCAGCUGCAGAACCAAGUGGACUCCAGUGUUGCAGACCAGUGAGGAUGGCAAUGCUGGCAAGACCAAGAUGGACAGUGUUGCAAUGGCCUCAAGCUUGCUACUAAGACUGGCCCUUGUGGGGGAGAAUAUUUGGUCCAGUAUUCAGAGUCUAAAGGGUAGAGAGAGUGAGGAUUUGUUUCAGGCAGAUAACAAUAACCCUGAAGGUCCAGUCCAGGAGGCAGGGCACAUCUGAGAUGCAGGAAACAGGUAACAUGCAAAGUCAGAUGCACAGUGGGAUGUGGUUUGAGAGAUUAGUGACACCCCCUUAGUGAGAUUUCCACAACCAUCUGUGGGAUGGGCGACUGAGGCCAUUCUAGCUCCUUAUGAAGGGGCAAGAGCUCGCUAGAUACAGGGGCCUGGUGUGUAAGAGUAUUGGGUGGGAAUCAGAUCAGGCGAGGACUAGGAGAGACUGGCAGGGGGGCUGAGGGUCAGACCUAGACACUGAGCCAGCAGGCAGCACAGAGGGCCCGUGACAUCCCAAGCACAACGCCCUGAGAUGGACUAGUCCCUAAUUUCAGACCUCUAGCUGUGGACAGAUGACAUAUUUUCUUUCUCUGGGAUAAAUUAGAUGAGGACCUGGGAGGACCUGGGAGGACCGCGUUUUCUGGGAGAAGCCCUGGAAUACAAGAUUUAAUGUACUUAAAGGGAGCUCACAUUCCCAUCAACCUGGAGCAGCUCAGCUGGGAAUGUCUGAGCUGGCCUCAAAGUCUCAGCCGAAUCCAGAGCUAUCUAAGGAAUGUGGAAGCUGAAACCAACUUCACCUGGAUCUUUGCCUCAUGGUAACAUCCUUGCCCUAUGAGUUGCUGCCUGCAUAGAUGGAAGUAGAAGAGAGGAGACAUUGUUUUAGACAAACAUGUAACAUAAAUAAUUUUUAUUAUGGAAUUAAAUAAUUCUGUAGAUACAUUAGAGCAAAGUUAUUUUAUCUGGAUUGUAUUUUGACCUGUGCAUCCUAUUCAACAACAAUCUUUUUUAAAAAAUUUACUCUCCUCCAAAACAUUUAUUCCAUUACAAUGUGAAUAACUAA